GACGUAGGGCGCGAGCGUUGUCCGGAUUUAUUGGGCGUAAAGAGCUUGUAGGUGGCUCGUUGCGUCGGGAGUGAAAACCUGCGGCUUAACCGCAGGCCUGCUUCCGAUACGGGCGAGCUAGAGUUCGGCAGGGGAGACUGGAAUUCCUGGUGUAGCGGUGGAAUGCGCAGAUAUCAGGAGGAACACCGGUGGCGAAGGCGGGUCUCUGGGCCGAUACUGACACUGAGAAGCGAAAGCGUGGGGAGCGAACAGG
rnacentral:rRNA from 1 species